rnacentral:rRNA from 1 species
GGUGAGGAACGCGUGAGUAACCUGCCCUUAAGUUGGGAAAAGCUCCUGGAAACGGGAAUUAAUACCGAAUGUGAUCGUCGGGAGACAUCUUCUGAUGAUUAAAGGCCGCAAGGUCGCUUAAGGAGGGGCUCGCGUCCCAUUAGCUAGUUGGUGAGGUAACGGCCCACCAAGGCGAAGAUGGGUAGCUGGUCUGAGAGGACGAUCAGCCACACUGGGACUGAGAUACUGCCCAGACUCCUACGGGAGGCUGCAGUCGAGAAUUUUGGGCAAUGGGGGCAACCCUGACCCAGCAAUGCCGCGUGCGGGAUGAAGGUCUUCGGAUUGUAAACCGCUGUCAAGAGGGACGAAUACAAUUGACGGUACCUCUGGAGGAAGUCACGGCUAACUACGUGCCAGCAGCCGCGGUAAUACGUAGGUGACAAGCGUUGUUCGGAUUCAUUGGGCGUAAAGGGUCCGCAGGUGGUUUGAUAAGUCUGACGUGAAAUACCGGAGCUCAACUCCGGAACUGCGUUGGAGACUGUUGAACUGGAGUAUCGGAGAGGAAAUUGGAAUUCCAGUGUAGCGGUGGAAUGCGUAGAUAUCUGGAAGAACAUCGACAGCGAAGCAGAUUUCUGGACGAUAACUGACACUCAGGACGAAGCAUGGGGAGCAAACAGGAUUAGAUACCCUGGUAGUCCAUGCCCU